CCCGUAACCCUGAAGAGCUCGCCCGAACUCCCGCGCUUCCCCUUCCGUGGCGGGGCGGCCCCUGGGAGGAGCAAGCCCGUUUCGACGUGUCCGGCUGGGGGGGCGGGGGGCAGCUGCUCUGAGCCCGUGGACGUGAUCCGGGAGGGGCCCCAAGUAUUUGCCGAAGUAAAGGGCGCGGGAAAGCGCAGCUGCUUCCGGCCCUCUACACGCUCGCGAACCAGAAAACCAAAAACAGAAACACAAGGUCGUACUCGAGAAGCAAAAUAGCCUCCUGACCAAGUAUUCCUCUGCGUCGAAGAGACAGUCAAUGUUGUAGUAAUUGCUUUAAACUAAGUGGAAAUUUGGAGAAAGUUCAAGUGGAUUUUUAUCUUCAUCUGGGUCUAACUGGAAUACCUACUCACAUUCAAUGAAAACAUUCUAGUGGUUUGUUUUUGGGGUUUUGUUGUUGUUGUUGUUGCUUUUUUUUUUUUUAGAAUCAGAAAUACUUAAGCAGAGAGCCUCAGGAUGGUAGAUUUUCUAAUGAAACCAACUAGACACAAAAAUAUAAAUUGUAUGAUUUAUUGUAUUAUUGGUCUCCAUAAAGAAAUCACAAUAUAAAAACCUUUAUUAAUGCUUUUAUUAAAUUUCAAGACAGCAAAAAUUUUAAUAAAGUACCCAGAAACUCAAGAUACAAAUAGCUAUUGCCGAGAACCUAACAUUAACUCUGCCUGUUAAUGUUAAUUAACAGCGAUUAAAAGAGACUAAUAGCAGUGAUACAUGCCACUCAGAAAUGAAAGAACCCUAGUAAUUAUGAACUUCAAACAAAUCUAGCAAAUUAGUAUUAAUUUUGUUCGUAUGAAAUAUGUUCAUGAUCAUAAAAACAUCUAAAUUCUUGAUUUUCUUUGAACAUUGUUAAAGAUUCAUCACGUCUUAUCUGAACAAUAACAAAGUGUCUUAACAUUGGAAAACAUAUUUCAAGCCAAGACAUCACCCAGCCUGAAUUUUUAAAAAACGAAUGCUUACUACACUAAUAAAAGGAAAACAUCGACAUUACAAAAUUCUGAAAGUCAGACUCAAAUGAAGAACAAAGCAAUUUUUACUCAACAUUCACAAUGCCAGCCUUCCUUUGUGAAUAUUUAUAAAAAUGUUCUCCUUCCUUAUUGGUUUAAAUUCUAGACCAAUAGGAGAAGCACAACACAUCUUUCAAAGGGUGAGACAUCAGCCUUCGGUUAAGACAUUGGAUAAAUAGAUUGUUUUUCGUGCUCAUUCUCAUUCAAGAUCAUCUAUCUUUUCAAAGAAGAAAUUUAAGAAUCUUUGAGUGAUUGAGUAUCUUGAUGUACUUUCAAUACUAAAUUGCUACUCCUGAUCACACUCUGGCUCUCUGUAAUCUUCCAAUUGGUUACAUUACAAUUAAUUAGUUAAAAUAUUAAAUCUCUAAAAUGCCAGAUGAAUCUGAAGAAUGACAAAAUGCCUACCACCUAAUAUUCUAAAUAGGUUGAACACUGUCAUUUCUUUAUAUGAAAGACUGGCCUUUAAGGAAAUAAUAAAUUUUCUGUUUUAGAAAAUGUCUUGGAUUUUUAUAAAUAAAAUAGCCAGUGCAUCAUAAAUCUUUUACGUUUUAUUUUUCUAAAGCCAUCUUUAAUCUAUUUAAUGGCUAAGUACUAAACCUACUUGUUUAUAUUUAUAUUUAUGUUUAGAACAUAAGUAUGAUUUCCUCCCAAUCAAAAAUAAUCUAUGCUUUCACAUUCCUAUGCUUUGAUUUUGACUCAGCAUUCUGCUUAAUUAUAAUUAUUUACAUAUUUAUAAUUUCCCCAAGUAGUUCAUCAAUUCUAAGGAUAGUUUCCAUCUCCCAUUCAAUUUUUUAUUCCUCACUGCCAAACUCAGAGCCUUGUACAAAAUAAACACUCCACGGGUAUUUGCUGAA